rnacentral:rRNA from 1 species
ACUUACCAAACCGAUGCAAACUCCGAAUACCAAUGAGUACUAUCCGGGAGACAGACUGCGGGUGCUAACGUCCGUAGUCAAGAGGAAAACAAUCCAGACCGCCAGCUAAGGCCCCAAAAUUAUAGUUAAGUGGGAAACGAUGUGGGAAGGCAUAGACAGCUAGGAGGUUGGCUUAGAAGCAGCCAUCCUUUAAAGAAAGCGUAAUAGCUCACUAGUCGAGUCGGCCUGCGCGGAAGAUGUAACGGGGCUAAAACUAUAUGCCGAAGCUGCGGAUUUGCAAUUUAUUGCAAGUGGUAGGGGAGCGUUCUGUAAGCCGAUGAAGGUGUAUUGAGAAGUAUGCUGGAGGUAUCAGAAGUGCGAAUGCUGACAUAAGUAACGUUAAAGCGGGUGAAAAGCCCGCUCGCCGGAAGACCAAGGGUUCCUGUCCAACGUUAAUCGGGGCAGGGUGAGUCGACCCCUAAGGCGAGGCUGAAAAGCGUAGUCGAUGGAAAACAGGUUAAUAUUCCUGUACUUCUGGUUAUUGCGAUGGAGGGACGGAGAAGGCUAGGCCAGCUUGGCGUUGGUUGUCCAAGUUUAAGGUGGUAGGCUGAAAUCUUAGGCAAAUCCGGGAUUUCAAGGCCGAGAGCUGAUGACGAGUGCUCAUUAGAGCGCGAAGUGGUUGAUGCCAUGCUUCCAAGAAAAGCUUCUAAGCUUCAGGUAACCAGGAACCGUACCCCAAACCGACACAGGUGGUUGGGUAGAGAAUACCAAGGCGC